rnacentral:rRNA from 1 species
GCCAGCAGCAAUAUCCCCCUGCAACUCACACCUGUCAACUCUUUGAAGUUCAGCAGGUGUGAGCCUGGUUAGUACCUGCAUGAGAGACCUCCUGGGAAAGCUAAGGUUGCUGCUAUAA